rnacentral:rRNA from 1 species
GAGUUUGAUUAUGGCUCAGGAUGAACGCUGGCGGCGUGCCUAAUACAUGCAAGUUGAACGGACUUGGAGGGUGCUUGCACCUAACAAGUUAGUAGCGAACGGGUGAGUAAUACAUAAGCAACCUACCUAUUAGCCUGGGAUAACUAUGGGAAACGAUAGCUAAUACCGGAUAGGUAACUUGAAGGCAUCUUUAAGUUAUUAAAGGUUAGAGACACUAAUAGAUGGGCUUAUGGCGUAUUAGUUAGUUGGUGAGGUAACGGCUCACCAAGACGAUGAUACGUAGCCGGCCUGAGAGGGUGAACGGCCACAUUGGGACUGAGACACGGCCCAGACUCCUACGGGAGGCAGCAGUAGGGAAUUUUCGGCAAUGGGCGCAAGCCUGACCGAGCAACGCCGCGUGAGUGAAGAAGGCCUUCGGGUUGUAAAGCUCUGUUAUAAAUUAAGAAUGGCUAUAAGGGACUAUAGAGA